rnacentral:misc_RNA from 1 species
GUAAUAGUAUGGUUAUCAAAAGAAUUUUGGAUUUAUAUAAAAAUAAGUGCUAAAAUUUAUGUGUCUCACUUGCAAAUUUUGCUUUUUAGUGUACGAGUGCAUGUUUAAGAUGCUGAAGUGUAAAAUUCUAAUUUCUACUUUUUUGCAUAAGGAAUAUUUUUCAUAUCAUGCAUGUGUGCUGUCAUGAUUAUGGAUGUUAAUGAGAGUUAAGUGAGUGAGCUUGUUAGUUGAGC